rnacentral:rRNA from 1 species
UACGUAGGGUGCGAGCGUUAAUCGGAUUUACUGGGCGUAAAGCGUGCGCAGGCGGCCCGUUAAGACAGGUGUGAAAUCCCUGGGCUCAACCUAGGAAUUGCGCUUGUGACUGGCGGGCUCGAGUACGGUAGAGGGGGGUGGAAUUCCUGGUGUAGCAGUGAAAUGCGUAGAGAUCAGGAGGAACACCGAUGGCAAAGGCAGCCCCCUGGGCCUGUACUGACGCUCAUGCACGAAAGCGUGGGGAGCAAACAGG